UACGGGGGGGGCAAGCGUUGUUCGGAAUUACUGGGCGUAAAGGGCGCGUAGGCGGCUUUUCAAGUCGGGCGUGAAAGCUCCGGGCUUAACCCGGAAAUGUCGCUCGAUACUGUUGAGCUAGAGUGUGGAAGAGGCUACUGGAAUUCCGUGUGUAGCGGUGAAAUGACGUAGAUAUACGGAGGAACACCAGCGGCGAAGGCGGGUAGCUGGGCCGACACUGACGCUGAGGCGCGAAAGCCAGGGGAGCGAACGGG
rnacentral:rRNA from 1 species